GUGCUCGCUUCGGCAGCCACAUAUACUAAUAAAUUGGAACGAUUACAGAGAAGAUUAGCAUGGCCCCCUGCGCUAAGGAUGACACGCAAAUCGUGCAGCGUUCCAUAUUUUA